rnacentral:lncRNA from 1 species
UAUUUUUAGAGAUUUAUUCUGAGCUGAAUAUGAGUGACCUUGGCCUGUGACACAGCCCUCAGGAGGUCCUGAGAACAUGUGCCUAAGGUGGUCGGGGUACAGCUUGGUUUUAUAUAUUUUAGGGAGUCACGAGACAUCAGUCAAAUACAUUGAAGAAAUACAUUGGUUGGGUUCAGAAAGGCGGGACAACUCAGAGCGGGGCCUUCCAGGCUAUCGGUGAAUUCAAACAUUUUCUGGUUGACAGUUGGUUGAGUUUAAGAAGACCUGGGAUCAACAGAGAGGAAAUGCGAGGUUGAGAUAAAGGACUGCGGAGACCAAGUCUUAUUGUGCAGAGGAAGCUCUCAGAUAGCAGACUUCAGAGGGAGCAGAUUGUGAAAUGUUUCUUAUCAGACCUAAAAGGUGCCUGGCUCUUAGCUAAUUAUCUCCUGGAUCUGCAAAGGAAGGAAGGAAAACAAAGGGGAAGGGGAUUCGCUAUAGAAUGUGGAUUUUUCCCACAAGAGACUUUGCAGGGCAAUUUCAAGGUCUGGCAAGGAAAUAUAUUUUGGGAUGAAAUAUUUUGAUUUUUUUAUUGUCUUAUAAUGUUAUGCCAGAGUCAGACUGGAAAGUAAGUCACGAUAUAUAUAGGGUCAAAUAAGACCCAUCUGAUGAGAAUUUAUGGUUGAAGGGUAUGACUCCCUAGACCCCUUAGAUAGGAAUUGGGGCAAGAUAAAAAAUUAGAGCUUAGUCCUGAUAUUCAAAGACAUUUCUCGGAGAAGGGUCUGAGAAGAGAGGUGGGGGAUCUGGGAGCUGUGUGGAGGGACCCCCUGUGUGCAGAGGAAGGGUCUGAGAAGGGAGGUGGGGGGUCUGGGAGCUGUGUGGAGGGACCCCCUGCGGGUGGGGGAAGGGUCUGAGAGAGGUGGGGGUCUGGGAGCUGUGUGGAGGGACCCCCUGUGGGUGGGGGAAGGAUGUGAGAGAGGUGGGGGGCAGGUGUCGUGGGAUUCAGAGAGUGGUAACCUUUGAACACUCAGCUUCCUAGCAGUCAAGACAAAAAGGGCCAUCUAUGUCUGAAGGGAGGUGGCUUCCAGGGACCAGUGGCUUCUCAGCACAGGUGCCUUGGCAGAGGCUGCCUGACCUCAGACACAGACACCCCUCUGCCCUCUGCCAGUGGCCCAGGGCCAAGUCUCCCAGGGAUCUCCCACCUCAGCCGUCUUGAUAGUGGCUCCAACACCCACGGGCCAUGUCCCUGUCACCCACCGCACUCCGCCCACUGCUGCGUCCUGAGAGUCAGGGUCUCCCCCACAGAACAGGAGACUCCAGAGGGGGUCCCAGGGUUGCUCCCAGCAGGUCUAUUUGGACCUCCCCUCCCCAGAGCCCAGCCCCAGCCUCGUUAAUUCUGUAAUAUUUGGUUUUGAAGAAAUUUACCAUAAAUGUAUAGAUCUUAAAAAAUCAUGCCAGGGCUGUGAUAUUCUUGGCAAAAGCCAGUCUGGUGUCCAUUUCUGUUGGAGAAGAUGAAAGAUGAGAUUCCAGAUGUUCUUUCGGAUUUGGGCCAUCCCAUUCCGUCUGCCACUCAGGAGAGUUCAAUAGACCUAACAUUUUUGUCUGAAAGGCUUGGGGAGUUUCUCCUCUGCCACACGCUCCUCCUGAGGGAGCCCCUCAUUCUGGGACGUGGCUUGUGGCGGCCGUGGCAGCAGCUGGUUCCCGAGGGACAGGACCCACUGGGGUCCCUGAGGCUCCUCCGACAGCAGUGGCAGGGGGCAGGCAGGACCCGGGCAGACGGACCUUUCCAGAAAGACCCACCAGGCUGGACAGGCAGAGUUGCACGGUGGUGAGGCCGGCUCCCAGUGCUGCCACACUUGGCUCCCGAGGGCUAACGAUGUCUUCAAUCGUACAAAGGCCUCUGAUUCACUCCGUAAAUCCUAUGCUGACACGCUGCCUCUUGGCAUCUUAUUUUGUUUACUUAGAACCGACUUUGAGGUGAGGAAUGCUUGCAUGUUGCUGGGUGUUUAGAGGAAGAGUAAUAGAUUAUUUGUAACUCCUGUAAUGAAAACAUUACGCAGGCACAACGAUGGGCUCAGUCCUGCUCAUUUUCCGCUGCUAAUUGCCAGGGCAUACAGGCUCUGUUAUGAACUGAAGUGCCAUCUGUAACCUCCCACAUUUAUUAAAAUAUAAUUGCUUUAAUGAAAUUCUUUUGGAAUAAGACAUAGUUCAAACAACACACUGCCUUCAUGGGUGAUUUUCUGGCCAAUUACGGACGUGACCACGGAGUCUCUCGCUUUCAAUCAGAUGGUUUUUCCUUGUAAAUGUGUUGGAGAGGACGUUCCAGGGGCUGCUCUGGGCUCUGGCUGGGCUAUUUGAACCUUCCACUUUGACCUUAGAAAUGCUUCAGUCGUUUUAAAAAGUGCAGAAAAUACACCCCCAGCUCUGUGGUCAUCCCGGGAGGUGGGUCAUGGUGCACAUCCCGACACCUUCCCAGGCCCGUCUGCUGCAAGCCCCACCACCUUCCCAGGCCUGCCUGCCUCGAGCCCCUGCCUCCAGGUGCGCUGGUUUAUGAUGGGGGCGGGGGCGGGGGCAGGUGGCGAGCAUUUGCCUGUCUCACAAGUGGAGCUUUUAAGGAAAAUUAAUGAAGAAACAGACCGGCUAGCUGGGGAGUCUUUAAAAAUAGUCCUUUCACCUGGAAUCGCUCUCUUCCUCUCAGCCUCAAGUGCCACUUUCCUUACUGGUCGAGAGGGCUCCCCAGACACUGUGCUGCAGUCUGAUCUGCCUCGGUGCCCUGCCCGGACAGCGUGGAAGGCGCUGCUCGUGUUCCCGUGGUCUGCCUCGGUGCCCUGCUCUCCCUUUUCUCUCUGGAACAAAGUCAUUUGUGCUUUGCGGUGGCAUUCUCAGCUGUGAAAAGUCUGAUUUAAAUGAUUUGGCAAAUGAGUGGUUCUCCAUUCACACCGCCGUUCUGCCUCCUUGGUGGUGGGCGUGGGCUGCGGCUCACACCGGCAGCAGCAGGAACAAUGGACUUCACCUGUCCACGCGCCCAGCGCCAUUCCCAGUCCUGAGACCUGUGAAACCCACUGGACAAGAUGCAGCUCUCGUUCUCAGAGACAAAGGGCCCUGGAGCCUGCAGGAGGGCCGGUGCUGUGGCUUUCACCCUGGAUGUGACUUGCCAUCUUGGCUAAUCUGAGCCGAGGGAGGGACGACGAUUUCUCAUCCCUUACACUUCCGAAGGACCUUCUAUCCCACACAGCGACCCUCGCUGCAGAAACUGUCGGAUGCCAGCGUGUGAUGUGUGCUUUCCCGGAGGAGAGGAGACAUGGGGUCUGCGUCUCCCUGGGUGCGAAUUUGGACACGAUGCAGGCAGGGAGGGCCCCCCAUCCCUCAAACCCGCCAUUAAUUCCCCUGCUUUUCCUGAGUCAUGGAUUUGAAAUGCCUUUGUCUAGAUCACAUCAGAUCUUAGAGGUGGUGAACUGCGGGCAUUUGUCUUGGGGAUAGUGGGUGCUACUCCUCCAGGGACCACGAGCAGCUCCCCAUCCUGCCUUCUGGGGACUGAUGAAAAUGCUCCCACUCCACACCUCCUGUGGUCCGGGCAGCCCAGGGAGUGAGAUGCUGGAGCCGGGUCAGGAGCUGGGCGAGGUGCUGGAGCCGGGUCAGGCGCUGGAGCAGAGCCAGGUGACCUCCCAUCAAUGUCACCCUCAGACCAAACCCAUGACGCAGGUUUCAAUCCCAGCUGACACUUAGGUUCUGGGUGAUCGUAGACAUUGUUUAUGCCUCUUUUUUUUAAUGUUUGAUUUUUCUUAAAAGACUACUUUUUCAGAGCAGUUUUACAGUCACAGAAACAUGGAGAAGAAGGUCCAGAGAGUUUCCAUAUGCCUCCUGCCCCCACACAGGCACAGCCUCCCCCACCACCAACCUCCCAGGCUGGAGACGUGCAUUUGUGCCGGGCGAUGAACCCGCACGGACGCAUCCGAUGGUCCGGAUCCCGGAGCUCACUACGGGGCUCCCUCCUGGGGCCACUCACUCCGUGGGUUUGGACAAACGUGUGAUCGCAGGCAUCUGCCCUGUGGUGUCCCCCGGAGCAGUUUCACUGCUAAACAUCCUCUGUGCUCUGCCUGUUUGUCCUUCUCUCCCGAAGCCCCUGGCUACCUGUCAUCGUUCUACUGUCUCCGUAGUUUUGCCUAGAAUGUCAUCUAGUUGGACUCACGCGCGCUGAGUGACACUCCGCUGCCUGGAAGUGCCCAGUUUAUCCAUUCACCGACUGAAGGGUAUCUUGAUCGCAUCCCCGUUGGGCCAGUGAGAGGAAAGCUGUGUGAACCUCUGAGUGCAGGUUUCCGUGUGGACGAAGGAGUUCAGCUCUUUUGGGCAGGUACCAAGGGUUCUUAGGACAAUGGGAAGAGCCUGUGUGAGUGUGGGAAAGGCAGCUGCAGGUCCCGUGCUGAGAAGGUCCCUCGCCUAGAAGCCAGUGCCUCUGGUCUGGUUCAGGCCCUGUCUGCACAGUGAGUCCAGCUGGCAUCCAUAGGAAGAAAGGGUGUUCCCCGGGCGUGCUCCAGAAGCAGCUACACAUCUGUCGGGCUGCAGCAGAGGCUGCAUCUCAGCGUGUUCCCUGGAUGCCCCUGACCCUGUGACGGCUCAGAAACAGCAGCUGUGGGCAAACCACGGUGACGGCCAUGUGGGCCCAGCUCCCUCCUGCUGCUCUGGCCAGAGCCCGUUGCCGUGGUGGCAGAGGCAUCUCUGGAUUUCCUGCUGCAGCAGGACAGAGUCCACAUCAGGACUUGAAUGUUCCCUGCAGCACAAGGAGGCGAGAGAGAGAGGCCUGGGGUCUCUGCUGAGGAAUCAUCGUGUCACUCGCCCUCCCUUCAGAGUUCGGGAAACUGAGGCAGGAGAGGCUGAAGUUGCCAGAGGUCACGCGCUAAGGAGCUGCAGAGCCAGCUUUGCGUCCCUCCCCUGUGGGGCCCCAGGAGGGCUGUGAGGCUGGGGAACCCACUGCGGGGUCCGGAGCUCCAGGAUCUGGUGCUGAGGCCCUGGGAGGAAGAGGGAACCUACGGACUGCUCGUGGCUCCCCUACUCCCGGGGAAAUGCAGGGAAACUGAAGCCUGGGCUGUCCCCUCUCCCAGCUGGCAGAGGGCCCUCAGGUCUGCACGCUGGGCCUGGCCGGAGUCCCGCCGAGCAGAGCGGAAAGUGAGCCGGUACCAGUGCUCGUGGCAGG